rnacentral:tRNA from 1 species
GCCUGGCUGGCUCAACUGGAAGAGCAUCUGACUCUUGAUCUCUGGGUUGUGAGUUCAAGUCUUAUGUUGGGUG